rnacentral:rRNA from 1 species
CCUACGGGAGGCAGCAGUGAGGAAUAUUGGUCAAUGGGCGAGAGCCUGAACCAGCCAAGUAGCGUGCAGGAAGACUGCCCUAUGGGUUGUAAACUGCUUUUAUCAGGGAAUAAAGUGCGGCACGUGUGCCGUUUUGUAUGUACCUGAUGAAUAAGGACCGGCUAAUUCCGUGCCAGCAGCCGCGGUAAU